rnacentral:rRNA from 1 species
GAUGAACGCUGGCGGCGUGCUUAACACAUGCAAGUCGAACGAUGAAGCCCAGCUUGCUGGGUGGAUUAGUGGCGAACGGGUGAGUAACACGUGAGUAACCUGCCCUUAACUCUGGGAUAAGCCUGGGAAACUGGGUCUAAUACCGGAUAGGAGCGCCUACCGCAUGGUGGGUGUUGGAAAGAUUUAUCGGUUUUGGAUGGACUCGCGGCCUAUCAGCGUGUUGGUGAGGUAAUGGCUCACCAAGGCGACGACGGGUAGCCGGCCUGAGAGGGUGACCGGCCACACUGGGACUGAGACACGGCCCAGACUCCUACGGGAGGCAGCAGUGGGGAAUAUUGCACAAUGGGCGAAAGCCUGAUGCAGCGACGCCGCGUGAGGGAUGACGGCCUUCGGGUUGUAAACCUCUUUCAGUAGGGAAGAAGCGAAAGUGACGGUACCUGCAGAAGAAGCACCGGCUAACUACGUG